rnacentral:rRNA from 1 species
UGGGGAAUAUUGCACAAUGGGCGCAAGCCUGAUGCAGCCAUGCCGCGUGUAUGAAGAAGGCCUUCGGGUUGUAAAGUACUUUCAGCGGGGAGGAAGGGAGUAAAGUUAAUACCUUUGCCCAUUGACGUUACCCGCAGAAGAAGCACCGGCUAACUCCGUGCCAGCAGCCGCGGUAAUACGGAGGGUGCAAGCGUUAAUCGGAAUUACUGGGCGUAAAGCGCACGCAGGCGGUUUGUUAAGUCAGAUGUGAAAUCCCCGGGCUCAACCUGGGAACUGCAUCUGAUACUGGCAAGCUUGAGUCUCGUAGAGGGGGGUAGAAUUCCAGGUGUAGCGGUGAAAUGCGUAGAGAUCUGGAGGAAUACCGGUGGCGAAGGCGGCCCCCUGGACGAAGACUGACGCUCAGGUGCGAAAGAGUGGGGAGCAAACAGG